UCUUUUGCAAUCAAGUCAUCACUCGUCAAUUCCUUCCUAUCAUUCACUUCACUCCUUUACUCAUCCAUAACCAGCGCUCCUCUCUCUCUCUCUCUCUCUCUCUCUCCGUGUUCUUCAUUUCUCUGUUAAUUCUCUGUUUCCUACCUUCGUUCGACUCUCAAACUCUUUUGCGACUGUUUUGUUUGCCAUUUGAUUUCAGCAGUCCUUUCUUGUUGUUUUUGUUUGACUCUCAUUUUUUUGUUCUAUUUUGCUUUUUAGCAGAGGUUUCAGGUUGAAAAAGGAAAAAAAAAAAUGGUUCUAGAUAUCUUCAUCUCCAUCUUCACAGAGGUAAUUAAAGACCCCAUCAUGGAAUUUAUUGUUGUCCCGAUCAAACGACACAUCAGUUAUCCUUUCAUCUACAAGAGCAAGGUUGAGACACUCCAUCGUGAGGCUGAGCAGUUGAAGAACAAAAGACUCAAGUUGCAGCAAUCCGUUGAUGAGGCGACAAGAAAAGGGGAAGAGAUCUACGAAAGUGUCAACAAGUGGAUGAUCGAUGCAGGCAAAGCCAUUGAAAAAGCUGAGGAAUUUAUCCAAGCCGAAGAACAAGCGGAAAAGAGGUGUUUCGUUGGAUUAUGUCCUGAUUUGAAGACGCGCUACCUUCUUAGCAAGGAAGCAGAGAAGAAAGCUUUGGCAAUUGAUAAGCUUAGGAAUGAAGGCGACCUGGAUUCAAUUUCAUUUCGUCCCCGUCUACUGCAGAUAGUUGCCUCAUCAGUAUAUAAUCGUGAGGCCUUGAAUUCAAGAGUGUUGUUCUUGAGGCAAGUUAUGGAUGCUCUGAGAGAUCCUAAUCUUAACAUGAUCGGAGUGUAUGGAAUGGGAGGUGUGGGGAAGACCACCCUAGCAAAAGAGGUCCACAGGCAAGCUAUAGAAGAGAAGCUAUUCGACGUGGUUGUUAUGGUUGCAGUGAAUCAAACGCCAGAACUCCGAAGAAUUCAAUCGGAGAUAGCUGAUGUCCUGGGCCUGACAUUUGAUGUGGAGGAAAUACCUGGAAGAGCUAAUCGACUAUAUGAGAGGUUGAAGAAAGAGAAGAAGGUACUUAUAAUUCUAGAUGAUAUUUGGAAACAACUUGAUUUAAAGGCAGUAGGAAUUCCAUUAGGGGAUGUCUGCAGAGGAUGCAAAAUACUUUUAACCUCAAGGAGCCAAGAUGUAUUGUCUCGUGAGAUGCGCACACAAAAAGAAUUCAGGCUUGACGUUCUGCAGGACGAAGAGGCGUGGAGUCUGUUUGAAAUGACACUGGCAGAUGCUAAAGAUUCAGAAUUGCCUCCCAUAGCCGCAGAAGUUGCUAAAAAAUGUGCAGGAUUGCCUCUUCUAUUACUCACAGUGGCGACAGACUUGCGAAAUAGAGAGUCAUACGCAUGGAAUGAUAAGCUGAAGCAGCUAUCUGUGUUUGACAAUGAAGAAAUAUAUGCAAAAGUACACUCGGUUCUGGAGUCAAGCUACAAUGAUUUGCCUGGUAAUGAAGUCAAGUCGUUUUUCUUACUUUGUGGUCUGUUAGGACUAUCUAAUAUUCCAAUCCGGUCCUUGCUGAAGUACGUCAUGGGUCUAAGUUUAUUCAAGCACAUUUCUACUGUCAAAGAAGCAAGAAACAAAGUUUAUACUUUGAUUGAUACCCUCAAAGCAAAGUGCUUAUUGAUAGACGGUGAUAAGUAUGGAUUUGUGAAAAUACAUGAUGUGGUUCGAGACACUGCUUUAUCGAUUGCAUCUAGAGAGCAACAUGCGUUUAUAGGUACAAGCAGCAGUGAGUUGACGGAAUGGCCAAACAAAGAUUCCGCCAGAAUUUCUCUGCCUUACUGUGAUAUUGAAGGUCUCCCUGAAGGGUGGGAGUGCCCAAAAGCAGAGCUACUAUUACUUUUCACUGAAGUUCUUUCUGUGCAAAUCCCAGGCCUAUUUUUCAAGGGGAUUAGAAACCUCGAAGUAGUGGAUUUUACUGGGAUUCGUUUUGAGUCCCUUCCUUCUUCACUUGCUUUCCUAUCCAACCUUCAUACCCUUUGCUUGCAUCGAUGCCAACUGGAUGACAUAGAUAUCAUCGGAGUCUUGAAGCAACUACGAGUCCUUAGUUUUGCAAACUCCUACAUUGUUGAGUUGCCCGUACAAAUAGAGCACCUGACUCGACUAAAAUUGUUAGAUGUGAGCGAUUGUUCCAAACUCAAAAUGAUUCCUGCAAAUGCCUUAUCAAAGCUGUACCAGCUAGAAGCACUGUAUAUGAGUAACAGCUUUGAUCGGUGGGAGGCCGAUGGGAUUAGAAAUCAAGGCAAUGCAAGCCUUGCUGAGUUGGAAUACUUGUCUCACUUGAUGACUUUGGAAAUACAGAUACUGGAUGCCAAGAUACUACCAAAACACCUAUUUUCUAAUGGGUUGCAAAGCUAUAGAAUACUCAUAGGGGAUGGAUGGGACUGGAAUGGGAAUUAUGAAACCUCCAGAAUGCUGAAACUUAAGCUCAAGACAAGCAUUCAUUCAGAGUAUGGGGUCAAAGUGUUGUUGAGGGAGACUGAAGAUUUAUAUUUAGAUGAAGUGAGAGGGGCUGAGAAUGUGUUGUAUGAUAUUGAUGGGGACGGCUUUCCACAAUUGAAGCAUCUCCAUGUCCAGAAUAAUACUGUAAUUCAAAAUAUCAUCAAUUCGACAAAUUGGGCUGCAUGUGAUGCCUUUCCCACUCUAGAGUCCUUAAUUUUGAAAAAUUUAAUGAAUCUGGAGAAGAUUUGUCAUGGUCAACUCGCUGCAGGAUCUUUUAAUAAAUUAGGAAUUUUAGAAGUAAGAAAUUGCAACAGAUUGACGAAUCUCUUCUCAUUAUCUACUACCAGAUGUCUUUUGCAGCUACGAGUAAUGGAAGUGUGGUAUUGUCCCAACAUGGAAGCUAUUGUUAUAGAUGAAGAUCAAGACAGCAAUGAAGAAGUGGUUGAGUUCAAUCAGUUACGCUCCUUGAAGCUGAAUGAUCUACCACAUCUUAGAAGCUUUCGCAGCAAAAUGAAGAAGGUGCCUCCAGGAAUUGAAUCGAGACACAAGCAAAUAUUGAUUGCAGAUGAGCCAGCAUUUGAGGAAUUUCUGUCAGAGGGCGAGCAUGGUGCUCAGUUAUCACUUUUCAACAGAAUGGUUUCUUUCCCCAACUUGGAGGAUCUUCGACUAGGCUCAGUUACUUGUGAAAAGAUAUGGCACGACCAACUUUCCGCAACUUAUUCAAACUUAAAAAGCUUGAGUGUUUACGGUUGCAAUAAAUUGAAGUAUUUAUUUACAACUUCAAUUGUUAAAAGUCUUUUGCAGCUCAAAACACUUCAUAUUGACGAUUGUAGUUCCUUGGAAGAGAUAAUACUGACAGAGGAAAUUAUAGAAGAAGAAGAUGAGAGGGUGAAUAAGAUAAUCUUCCCUAAAUUGGAUGUGCUGGAGCUUUGGCAUCUUCCAAACUUGAUUAGAUUCUGCAGUGGCUAUCAAAUUGAAUUUCAAUCUCUUACAGACUUGGACAUAGGGGGAUGCGGUGCAUUGAUGUGUUUGGUCCCCAGUGUUCCACAUACAGACAUGAUGGCAAAACAAGUUUACACAGAGACGAACCACAAUACUGAAAUUCAAUCUCUCUUCAAUGAAAUGGUUGCUUUCUCUAACUUGGAGAAUUUGAAUCUCCGGGAAAUGAAUGACAUGAAAAGUAUAUGGCACAGCCAAUUUGCGGCUGAUUCCUUCUGUAAACUAAAAUCAUUGAAAAUUUCUGAUUGCUGGAAAUUGAUGACUGUUUUUCCAUCAAAUGUCUUAGAAAGAUUCCAAAGAUUAGAGGAGUUGAAUGUACGAAAUUGUAAUUCUUUGCAAGAGAUAUAUCAACUUGAAGGGUCCAAUGUUAUUGAAGCAUUUGAGCUGAGAAAAUUAUCUAUACAGAGUCUGCCAUCGUUGAAGCAUGUGUGGAGGAAGGAUCCACAAGGAGUUUUCACUUUUCAAAAUUUGAAAUCAGUUGAAGUUUCAAAUUGUGAUGUUCUAAAAAAUCUCUUUCCAGCCUCCAUAGCCGAGAGUCUUUUGCAACUUGAAAAGCUUACAAUAAUUAAAUGUGGGGUUGAGGAGAUUGUUGCAAAGCCAGAAGAUGUGGAACCAGCCCCUUAUUACUGUUUUAAGUUCCCUCAAUUAACCUCCCUUAAACUUAUUGAACUAUCAGAACUGAGGAGUUUCUACCCAGGGACACAUAUUUCUGAGUGGCAAAAAUUGAAAUGUUUGGAAGUUCGUAAUUGUCGCAAAGUAAGGAAAUUUGGUCUGGAAGAAGUACAUGAAGAGGGCCAACACAGCAUUCCAAUUCAACGGCCCCUUCUAUUGUUGGAAAAGAUGAGUCCCAACUUGGAGGAAUUAACUUUAGAGCACAAGGACUUGAUCGCGAUACAACAUGGUCAAUUGUCAUUUCAGCACUUUUCUAAAUUCAAAGUUCUUACUUUGAGGAACUUGCAAAACAGAUCACAACUUUUUCUUAUUGGUUUCCUUAAAACAUUACAUUAUGUGGAAACAAUUGUUGUAGAAUCUAGUAAUUUAGAAGAGCUGUUCUCAUGUGAAGGAUUUACAUUGGUGAAAAAUUUAAAGCUAUUGACUGUUGAUAAUUUGAAGCAGAUAUGGGACCAAGACUCUAGACUGAAACCAAUUCUUCAGCAUCUUGAGACUCUGAGUGUAAAACAUUGUAACAGUUUGAUCAACACUGUACCAUUGUCAUCAUCUUUCUUAAAUCUGGCAGCUCUUGAAGUGAGUUACUGUAAAGGAUUGGUAAACUUGAUAACAGUGUCUACUGCCAAGACUAUGGUGCAACUAACCAAAAUAACAGUACGUAGUUGCGAUAAGAUGACAGAAAUAGUGACAAGCGAUGGAGAUGAUCAUACAGAGGAUGAGAUUAUUUUCAGCAAAUUGCAAAUUUUGAAACUUACUCAUCUGUCUAGUCUUUUCAGCUUUUGCUCAGGGAAUCACGCCUUCAAUUUCCCAUCUUUAGAAAAUGUUAAAGUUAAGGGAUGCUUACAGAUGAAGAUUUUCUCUUUCGGAGUUCUAAACACACCAAAGUUACGAGGAAUAGAAUUGGCAGAUCAGCAGCACUGGGAGGGAAACCUUAAUGCAACCAUAGCAGCCAACCAAUUGAAGGUUCGCCCAUAUUUUCAAGCAUCUAAAUUCCCUGCGCUCUGGCAUGGUGGAAUCCAAGGGAGACUCUUCUACAAUGUAGAAUCACUUACGGUGGAUAAAUGUGCAAUUUCCGAUAUACCUGUACCAGCCAAUCUACUGCCUUGCUUAAACAAGUUGAAACAGCUUCAAGUAAAAUAUUGUGAUUCAGCAGAAAUAGUAUUUGAUUUGGAAGGGCUAUCUGCUGAUGAUGGGCACAUUGGGCUACUUCCCCAACUAAGUAAAUUGCACUUAACAAAUCUGCCAAUGUUGAGACAUUUAUGGAACAAGGAUCCUUUGGGAAUUUUAGAAUUCAAUAACCUAAGGUUGCUCCAUGUUGAAAAUUGUAACAGCUUGAAGAAUAUAUUUACUUGGUCGACAGCGUUGUGCCUCAUGCAACUUCAAGAGAUUAAGUUAAACAAUUGUAACAUGAUUGAAGAAAUUAUAGAAAAAGAGGGACCUGAGGAAGCAACUUCUUUUGCUGAUAAGAUGAUACUUCCUUCGUUGAAAUUCGUAGACCUUGAAUGUUUGCCUAAAUUUUCAAGUUUCUAUUCAGGAUCGAGUAAUUUGGAAUGUCCAUCAUUGAAAAAGUUGAGGAUAUAUGAAUGUCCAAGCAUGAAGAAUGUCUUUGGCACACUCGUGAGGUUACAUAGACCCAACACCAACGAUGAAGGGAGCGAGCAAAGGCUAGACAAUGAAGGGUUUGAUACUCCCCUUACAACACCUUUUUGUCAUAAGAUGUUUCCCAUUUUGGAAGAGUUGACAUUAGACAAGAAGUCUGCCAUAACCAUACUGCAAUCUCAAUUUCCAACUGACUUCUUUUCCCAAGUGAAAGUUCUUCAAUUGCGUUGCUUUCCAAACAAAUCUCUUGUUCCUUUGUUUAGUUUACUUCCAGGAUUUCCCAAUCUGCAAAAUCUUGUAGUCCUUGAUUCUUCUCUCAAGCAGCUAUUUCCAUUUGAAGGAUUCGUCGGUGACCAAGAAGAUACCACUGCAUUCCCACCGAUAAGGGCUUUAAAGCUUGAAAAUGUUGAUGAUUUGAAGCAUAUGUGGGAACCAGAUUGCCAACCGCAUAACCCAGUAUUUCAGUCUCUUGAGACUCUUGAGAUAGAGUCUUGUGGAAAUUUUAUUUUUUUAGCACCAUCCUCUGCGUCUUUCCGAAAUCUAAAAGCUCUGGAAGUAAGUGAAUGCAACGCAUUGAUAAAUAUUGUUACAUCUUCCACAGCCAAAAGUAUGGUACAACUUGAGACAUUGACUGUAAAAUCCUGCAAUAUGUUGACCGAAAUAGUAGGAGGCGAUCUAGGGGUCCGAAUUGGAUCAACAGAUGAGAUUGUUUUCAGCAAAAUGAAAACAUUACAACUUGAACAUUUACAGAGCCUCACAAGCUUCUGUUUGGGCAGUUACACUUUCAAAUUCCCAUCAUUAGAACAAUUAACUGUUCGUAAUUGCCCCAAGUUGAGGAUUUUCACUGCUGGAGUGUCAAGCACGCCAAAGUUACGCGGUGUAUUGGCAGGCUUGCGCUACGAUAGAAAAUGGCAUUGGGAAGGCAAUCUCAAUGCCACCAUUGAACAGCUUUACAUGAAAUAUGUUGGAUUUGAAGGGAUAGAUGAUGUGCAGCUCUCCAACUUUCCUAUGCUGAAAGAAAAAUGGCAUGGCCAAUUUCCAUUCGAGAACUUGAGGCGCUUACGAAAGUUAGUGGUGGACGAUUGUGCUUUUUUCUCAAAUGCCGUAUCCUCAAAUCUACUAAAGUACUUAUUCUUGCUAAAUGAGCUGGUUGUAGAAAGAUGCGAUUCUGUAGAAGAGCUGUUUGAUUUGGAAGGGCUAAAUGCUGACGAAGGUGAUGUUGGGUUAUUGAGGUAUUUAAAUGAAUUGAGGUUAAUUGAUUUGCCUAGAUCGAGGCAUGUGUGGAACGAUGAUCCUCAAGGAAUUUUGAGCUUUAAAAACCUAAAGUUGUUGCAAGUUCAGAAUUGUAGCAGCUUGACUAAUAUAUUUACUCUGUCCAUGGCUUCGGGUCUUGUAAAUCUCCAACAUAUGGAAUUAAAAAGAUGUUGUUUGGUGGAACAUAUCAUCACAAAAGAAGCAGAAGAGGAAAUAGCGAAAGAUAAGAUCAUGUUUCCAUCAAUGAAGUCCCUAAGUCUCGAGUGUUUGCCUAACUUGUCAAGUUUUUAUUCUGCAAGGGAUUUUCUGAAAUGCCCAUCCCUGAAAAGAAUUGAUAUGGUUGGCUGUCCAAACAUGGAAUUAUUAGCUUCAAAAUUUUGUGAGGAACAAGAUCUAAGCAUGAUUGCUGAGGGAAAUGAAGCAGGAAUUCACAAUAGGGACUUUGUUUUUUCCAUUGCAGCCUCUUCUGGCGGGAAGGUUGCGAUCCCAAGUUUAGAAGAAUUGAGAGUGGAAUAUAACACCAUGAAGGAUAUGUGGUCUCAAGCUGAUUUCUUGUCUGGACUGAAAGGCAUUGAGCUAACCUGUUUUUCCAAUGACUCUACACUUUUGCCAUCUUAUUUCUUUCAAAGUUUACCCGAUCUGGAGAAGCUUGUUCUGAGUGAUGCUUCUUUCGAAGAAAUCAUUUUUCAUGAAGAGAUUAUUAGCAAGGAAACACGUGCUGGACUUGUAAAAUUGAAAGAACUAAAGCUGUCGAAGCUGCCAAGGCUCAAGCAUCUGAUGGACGCUAAACUACUCACAGUUUUUCAAUAUCUGGAGACUUUAGAAGUACUGGAAUGUGGCAGACUGGAAAUUUUAGUGCCAUCCUCAGUUUCUUUCCAAAAUCUCAAAACACUGGAGGUAUCAAAUUGCCAACGUCUAGUAAACCUAAUAUCUUCCUCAACAGCGAGAAGUCUUGAACGACUUAGAAAAAUGAAGAUAGAGAAAUGUGAACUGAUCCAAGAAAUUAUAGUGACUGAAGAAGAUAAAGAUGAAGAAGAGGAGAUUUGCUUCGGUCAACUAAAAUGUUUGGAACUUCAACAUCUACCAAGCCUCUCUAGCUUCUGCUCUGGUAAUUCUACCUUCAGUUUCCCAUCUUUGGAAGAAGUGAUCAUUAUAGAAUGCCCCAAUAUGAAGAUCUUUGCGCAAGAAGUCUUGAGCACGCCAAAGCUAUGGAGAGUUCAAACCGGAGAACCUAAAUAUACAAGGGAAGGGGAAUGGGAAUGGGAACGGGAACGGAAGAAAAAAUAUAUAUGUGAAUGGGAAUGGGAAGGCAGCCUUAAUAAGACCAUUCAAUCAUUAUUUAAGGAAAUGAAAGCUGAAGAGACAGGGAUAUGCCAGUGUUCAUAUGCAAAAGCUUGAAUAAGGCUGAUGUUCCGUGUCAUUUGUGACAGUGAUUAACUCAUAUUUUUCUAGUUUUGAAGAUGGAUGGUGAGAGGGCCAUUUGCUCCCAUUUGAUUCUCUUCUGGCUGAACUUGUCUUUCGUUCAUGUAUAAUAAUUAAUAAAAUGUAUACGUUUUUUUUUCCUCUUCAACGAUGCCAUUCUUCCUUUUGUCCGUUUUAACAUGCACAACACGUUAAACGGCGUACGGCGUCGUUUUUGUACGUCUCUGUUAUUUUUCAUGUUCACAGGGAUAUCCUUUUGUUUUUUGUUUGGAGAGACAACAGGUCUUGCCUUUGGUGCGCAGACGUAUGGUUCCCCUGUAGUUCCUUUCUCAAAAUCCUUUUUUUUUUUGUUGCUUUUUUUUUCCUCUUAUUUAUUGAAAACUUUGGUAGGGAUUACUUUGCAUGCCUUUGAUAAUUUUCGGUUUGUUCCUUUUCAAACAAGGAUCGAAUUUCAGCUUACUCCAUAUAUUUUCUUCUUCAAAUCAGUUUUGUUCUAUUUGAUUUGACAACGAACGAUGCUUUGAGGAUGGUGGUGGUUGGAUUGUGCUGGUUUUAGUACAGCUCGAUCGUGAUUUCUCUGUCAUUUUCUUCUAGCUUUGAGACACAGUGGUUCCUUUUUGAAAAAUGAAUGUAGGAAAAUGAAAAAAGAAAAAAAAAAAAAACUUAAGUUUUGAUUGCGUUCUCUUGAUGCUUUCAUUUUCCUUUAUUAUUAUUUUCCUUUCCUCUUGGCUAAUUAUUUGAUGAUGUAUUGUAUUUUUCGCUAUUUCUUUCUUUCUCUGUUUGGAGAUUAGAUUAUGCUCUCAAUCUACAUGGAUGGUUGCCCCAGUGAGUGAAAUAUCUUUCGAAAAGGCUUGCUUGGAUGGCUUUCACAGGAAGUACAAUCAGAAAGUCAAAUGGCUGAGAGAACUACUACGCAGGAAUAUUAUGUAGAGGAUACCCAUACAAGUCAAACUCAUUUUCAGCUGGUACUACGCCUCCCUGCUGCUGCAAAAUUGUAGAAAUUUUGACAAAAAAUGAUUUAAAACUUUGGCUAACCAAAAGUUUGAAAGCAAAUAGAAAAUGUUUUAGCACUAGAGUUCAAGGUCAAAAUUGGAGGAUGCUUAUUUAGGACACGAGUGAUGGAUGCCAAGUACACCAAAAGUGAACAAGUUUAUCCUUAUAAGAGAGUAGAUUUAAAAUGCUCGAUCAAUGCUUGGUCCAUGAAUAUUCAAUGUCCUUACAUGGAAUAUUCAAGCAAAUCUCCAUUGAUUUUUGCAAGGUGUUUGCUGUGGAUCGAGAUCAAUCUAUGGGCUAGCAGGAAAUGGAUGGCCUGAGUACAAUGUGGGUUAUACUAUAAGAAUUAGAAGAGCUGGAAGGAUGAAAGAAGAUUAUAGGAAACAUGAUGGAAGGCUCUGAAGAAGGGACACGUAGCAGCAUAGCAAAAUGGAGGAAUAUUAGGAUGAAGAUCACCUUCAUAUUCAUUGAUCUCUUAUUUUAGUUAUUCUUUUUCACGUAGAUAACACAUAUUUGUUUCCUUGUGUAUCUUUAUAUUGUACUAUCUUUAUAUUUUACAAUCUGCUCAUAUAUAUGUUUUACCAUCUCUUGUACAACAAUACAAGCAAUACAAUAUCACAUAUUUUAC